GGACUACUGGGGUAUCUAAUCCUGUUCGCUCCCCACGCUUUCGCUCCUCAGCGUCAGUAUCGGCCCAGACCACUGCCUUCGCCAUCGGUGUUCCUCCUGAUAUCUGCGCAUUUCACCGCUACACCAGGAAUUCCAUGGUCCCCUACCGAACUCAAGCCAUAGAAGUAUCAAGUGGCGUCUCUGGGUUAAGCCCAGAGUUUUCACACCUGACUUUCUAAGCCGCCUACGAGCUCUUUACGCCCAAUAAAUCCGGACAACGCUUGCUCCCUACGUAUUACCGCGGCGGCUGGCAC
rnacentral:rRNA from 1 species